GGUUCCGUGGUGUAAUGGUUAGCACUCUGGACUUUGAAUCCAGUGAUCUGAGUUCAAGUCUCAGCGGAACGUUGACCA